rnacentral:rRNA from 1 species
AGUCGAACGAACUCUGGCAUUGAUUGGUGCUUGCUUGCUGAUUUACAUUUAAGUGACUGGCGAACUGGUGAGAAACACGUGUGAAACCUGCCCAGAAGGGGGGGAUAACACCUGGAAACAUAGGCUAAUACCGCAUAUCACCUUGGACCGCAUGGUCCGAGUUUGAAAGAUGGGUUCGGCUAUCACUUUUGGAUGGUCCCGCGGCGUAUUAGCUAGAUGGUGGGGUAACGGCUCACCAUGGUUAUGAUACGUAUCCGACCUGAGAGGGUAAUCAGACACAUUGGGACUGAGACACCUGACACACUCCUACGGGAGGCACCAGAAGGGAAUCUUCCACAUUGUACGAAAGGCUGAUGGAGCUGCUCCACGUGAGUGAAGAAAGUUUUCAGCUCGUAAAGCUCUGUUGUUUCUGAAGAACAUAUCUAACAGUAACUGUUCAAGCUGUGACGGCAUUUAACCAAAAAGCCCCGACUAACUACGUGCCAUCCGCCGCGGCAAUACCUAGGUGGCAAGCGUGGUCCGGAUUUAUUGGAUUUAUUGCGAGCGCAGGCAGUUUUUUAAGUCUGAUGUGAAAGACUUCAGCUCCUUCGAAUAAGUGCAUCAAAAACUGGGAAACUUGAGUGACUAGAAUGACAAUGAAGAUCCAUGUGCUCCGUGGAAAUGCGUAGAUAGAUGAGAUAUCACCAAUGACGAAGGCGGCUGUCUGGGCUGUCUCGGAUGCUGAUGAUCCUGAGGAUCGGUAGCAUACAUGAUUAAAUACCCUGGAUAGUCCAUGCAGUACAUGACGAAUGCUAUGAGUGCUAGGGGUUCCACCCUUCCCUGCUGUCGCUGACGCAUUUAGCACACUACCUGGUGAGCACGGCCGCAACGAUCAAACUCAUGAGAAUUGACGGGAGUCCCGCACGAGCCGCAGCAGCAUGUGGGAUUAAGUCGUAUCUACCCGAGCUACCCUUACCGAGCCUUAGGACAGUACUUGGACAUACUUGAGCAGAUCUGACGAUAUCCGUCGGUGCACAUCGGAGACACGGUGGUGGCAUGGGUUGUCAUCGAUCCUCGUGUCCGCUCCGAAGUCUGGCUAAGUCGCGUCACGUACGCGCACCCAUGGCUAUCCAUUGUCCAGCAAUUGACCUGGCGUUCACCUGAGACUGCCGGUGACAAACCGGAGGAAGGUGGGGAUGACGUCAAAUCAUCAUGCCCCUUAUGACCUGGGCUACACACGUGCUACAAUGGAUGGUACAACGAGUUGCAAACUCGCGAGAGUAAGCUAAUCUCUUAAAGCCAUUCUCAGUUCGGAUUGUAGGCUGCAACUCGCCUACAUGAAGUCGGAAUCGCUAGUAAUCGCGGAUCAGCAUGCCGCGGUGAAUACGUUCCCGGGCCUUGUACACACCGCCCGUCACACCAUGAGAGUUUGUAACACCCAAAGUCGGUGGCGGUAACCUUUUUAU